rnacentral:rRNA from 1 species
UACAGAGGGGGCAAGCGUUGUUCGGAAUUACUGGGCGUAAAGGGCGCGUAGGCGGCGUGCUAAGUCGAACGUGAAAUCCCCGGGCUCAACCCGGGAACUGCGUCCGAAACUGGCAUGCUUGGAUCCGGGAGAGGGAUGUGGAAUUCCAGGUGUAGCGGUGAAAUGCGUAGAUAUCUGGAGGAACAUCGGUGGCGAAGGCGGCAUCCUGGACCGGUAUUGACGCUGAGGCGCGAAAGCCAGGGGAGCAAACGGG